rnacentral:piRNA from 1 species
UAUGUCUUUUGGCUCAAGCAACAUGUAUAUCA